UACAGAGGUCUCAAGCGUUGUUCGGAUUCAUUGGGCGUAAAGCGCGUGUAGGUGGUCACGCAAGUCAGGUGUGAAAGCCCUGGGCUCAACCCAGGAAGUGCACAUGAUACUACGUGGCUGGAGUACUGAAGAGGAGAGCGGAAUUCCCGGUGUAGAGGUGAAAUUAUGUAGAUAGCGGAGGAACACCAGUGGCGAAGGCGGCUCUCUGGGCAGAUACUGACACUGAGACGCGAAAGCGUGGGUAGCAAACAGG
rnacentral:rRNA from 1 species